UUGAAUUUGAAGUGGCCAUUGGUGAGUGAAAGUUUCACUCACCAAUGGCCUGUGAAAGGAAUCAUUUCCAAAUGUAAACUUCACGUGCCAAGCUGUUCCAGCUUGAUGGAGGGAUCGCUGAAAGUUGCCGUUCGCGGUGGUGAUAACAGAUAACUGAUAAGUUUACACAUCUUAUUUACGGUUCUUGCCAGCCUUGAUGUGCCGGUUUUCUGUUCGUACUCGGACUACGAGUAUUUUGUAAUCAGCAGUUUAGGAUUGCGAUUUGCUAGCUAGUAGUGAAAUUGCUCGCGUUUCGUCAUCUUAGUUCGCGCCUCGUCCUUUGUUUGCCAUUAAGCAUUCUCUGUUUUAGCCGAGAAUAUGGAUGAUGAGGAUCGUGCCCGUGAACUGCAGCAGUUCAACGCAAACCAACUGCGCCAAAUCGAAGAAACCUACGAAAACAGCAUACGCGAGUUCGUCGACCCUGCUCCAGUGGGCGAACCUGCUCCACUUGCGGAUCCCGAUGAACUGGACGAUCCUGAGCAACCUGCACCCGGGUUGUUCGUGAAAGCCCGCCACGUUCUCUCUGGCGUCCACCUAGGCAAGAUGGUGCGUGUGGAACGCGUUGCGGACAAUCAGCUGGAGGCUGUGCGCGCUCAGAUAACCACAAUCAACGUGAUGAUGUUCGGACACGGCGGCCUGAAUAUUGGCAGACUGACCGAUGAUUCGGUGGUUCCACUCCCGACCACUAAUGGGCACGGCGCGGCCCAUGUACCUCCAGUUCCCCAGAAUCCCCAAAGGUUGAACUUCCGCAUACGACUAAAUCCUUAUGGUGGAAACGACGAACUACUCAGGAACACGAGAACUCGGGAAUCCCUCGGGAACACUCCAACUACAACUUCCGGUCGCAGUUUCUAUGAGGAUCAACAAAGAGCUAGGACGAUUGUGUCACGAGCAAACCUGUAUUCUAUGCAAUAAUCCGGGAACGAUCAUGUACAUCAGAAAAAACAAGUGGAAGGCGGACAGUCAGCAUCCGUGAGGCGGAAGCCCAACAGCUUGUGGAGAACGAGCCAGGCCGGGAAGCACUGCGCAGCCAUGUCGUUGCUGCUUUACAGCCUUACGCGGCCGUUGUCGCUGUAUUUGUUGAUGAACUGCCCUACCAUGUUCUGGCUACCGUAAAUGCGCCGGCAGAUCAUCGUGGAGCACUUCGCGUGCUGUUAACUGAUUUUAUCGCUACGGAAUACCCGCAGACUGUAAAUAUACCGAGGGCCACAGGAAACUCUGUGUCUCGGCAGCUUUGUUACCCUGCUGGCCAGGGCGCCGGAUGAUCGUAUCGCUGACGAAUAAGGACGGUAGCUUUCCUGACCUUUCCUUCCAGUUGUUACUAAGCCUUGAUGCACACUUACUAACAAGUAAGACGAAGUGCCGAUCGGAGAAAUUUGACUAACCAUUGUUGGUCUGGAGCCGAAAUUCGAUGGGAGUUACUAGAAGCGGUGUUUUCAAAGAUGGUCCGCUGUCUAGAUAUUUUAGAGGGUUUUUUGGUGCAGAAACGGUAGGUUGUCGGACAGCAAUAGGUAUUCCUGUCGGCGGCGACGGCCAAGCGAAGCGGUUUUGGGUGGGGCACGAGGAGCGGUGGGAGAAGAUGAAGCGGAAGAGAGUCCGGGAUAGGGAGAAGGAGCUGCAACGAUCACCCAACCGACUGGG